rnacentral:rRNA from 1 species
UUUCUUUGCUGGCGACCGGCGCACGGGUGAGUAACACGUAUCCAACCUGCCCUUUACUCGGGGAUAGCCUUUCGAAAGAAAGAUUAAUACCCGAUAGCAUAAUGAUUCCGCAUGGUUUCAUUAUUAAAGGAUUCCGGUAAAGGAUGGGGAUGCGUUCCAUUAGGUUGUUGGUGAGGUAACGCUCACCAAGCCUUCGAUGGAUAGGGGUUCUGAGAGGAAGGUCCCCCACAUUGGAACUGAGACACGGUCCAA